CAAGCAACCUGGACAUUACUGAUAUGAGAACAUCAGCCCUAUUAAUAAACUGCCUGUCCCCUCCACAGUAGGGUCUGUGUUAACGCCCCAUGAUGAUGAGCAUGAUCCUUGCAUCUGUCUGGAUGUCAAGCAGGGUGCCAGAGGGACUGGCAGGGAAAGCUGAAGCCUGGCUGAAAUCACUAUGCCAGGGGAUGGAGGAUGUCAACUUCCCUGUGUCCCUCUGCUGAGAGGAGGAAGGUGCAGAAGAAACACAAGGAUGAAUAAAUAAUAAAACCCGCCUGGAAAACCUGGCUUUGCCAUUGCUGGAGAGCUCCAACCUUUUCUGAUGAGGGAGGAAGAACUGAUGUCACUUUGAAAAGCUGCACGGGGCAGAAGGGUUAUUUCUCUCCAAUGCUGCCUUGAGCAGCCACAGCAUCAUCUGUCUGGCACUAAGGCCCCACAAUUAUUCCCAUGAGGACUGGGAGAGUUUCUCCCAGCUGCUGCUCCGUGACAAACAUCACUUCAUCCAUGCACCACAUCUGACCUCAGGUUGCACCCUCACUGGUAAGAGCACUUUUUGGAGCAAACUUCCCCACAGCUGACAUCUCUGGGCUGUCCCUGGCUUUGCCCUUCUGGCAGGUGGUAGGAAAUCCCUUUGCUUGCUGUUUCCUUUUUUUUCCCCAAACAAGGAGGCCAUUUCACUAAUCCCCAAGUGAGGAUGUUCAAAUAGAUACUCCUGGAGUUCUGACAGCUUCAGGUGUCCCUGGGAAGGCUCCUGCUGAGAGCUUGUCCUGUGGGUCAGAUACUUGAUGGGAGGGUUAACAGGAAGGGCUCUGUGCUGGAUCUACCCCUGCUCUCCUGCUGGGAAACCUUUCCAUGCCCAGAGCUUCUCCACAGUGGGAAUGCUCAGCCAGGGACAAA